UACGUAGGGUGCAAGCGUUGUCCGGAAUUAUUGGGCGUAAAGAGCUCGUAGGCGGUCUGUCGCGUCGGAUGUGAAAAUCCAGGGCUCAACCCUGGACCUGCAUUCGAUACGGGCAGACUAGAGUUCGGCAGGGGAGACUGGAAUUCCUGGUGUAGCGGUGAAAUGCGCAGAUAUCAGGAGGAACACCAGUGGCGAAGGCGGUGCUCUGGGCCGGAACUGACGCUGAGGAGCGAAAGCGUGGGGAGCAAACAGG
rnacentral:rRNA from 1 species